AUUGAACGCUGGCGGCAGGCCUAACACAUGCAAGUCGAGCGAGCGGCGGACGGGUGAGGACUGUAUGGGGACUGCCCGAUAGAGGGGGAUAACUACUGGAAACGGUAGCUAAUACCGCAUACUAUCGGAUAACCCAUAUGGGAGUAGCUAGUAGGUGAGGUAAUGGCUCACCUAGGCGACGAUCCCUAGCUGGUGUGAGAGGAUGAUCAGCGACACUGGGACUGAGACACGGCCCAGACUCCUACGGAGGCAGCAGUGGGGAAUAUGGGACAAUGGGCGCAAGCCUGAUGCAGCAAUGCCGCGUGUAUGAAGAAGGUAUUAGGGUUGUAAAGUACUUUCAGUCGGGAGGCGUUACCGACAGAAGAAGCACCGGCUAACUCCGUGCCAGCCGCCGCGGUAAUAC
rnacentral:rRNA from 1 species